rnacentral:lncRNA from 1 species
GAACUACUCCCAAACUGAUUGUUUGAGUACAUCUGUCAUUCAGUUGUACUGCUUAUAGCAUGCUAAGACACUGAGAGCCUAGGAUAGCAUCUUUAAUUACUGCUUCAUGCCAAAUAAAUGUAUAAAAUGUUAUUGGACUGAUAUCUUAUUCCUUAUGUCAUAUUUUACCCGGAUUUUAUUGUGACUUCAUUCAGACUCUCAAUUCCUUUAGCUUGUUUUCUCUCAGUUCCCUUUGAUUUGCCCACAUCCUCCUGGUGUUGAAGUAUCCAAAAGUGAGGAGAGGAAAGUGAUUGCAGAAGCAAGAUAAACUUGGAAUGUAGGAAGCUGCGGUUGAAUUAUUUUAUGUGUAAGCUGGGUCAGAAACUGCAAGCACAGUACAGAAAGAACAUAUUCAGAUUCUGGCUUGCAAGAAAAGGAAGCAACUCAUAUGAAAAAUGACCACAAAAGGAAAUGGGUAGCUGAAGAACAGGAGGACGUAAGCCUGCCACCUGCCUCCUUUGGAACGAAGUAGCUGCUGUAUGCAUGUUUUGCUUGGAUUCAUUUCAGUCCAGCUUUCUAAACUUCUGCUUUCCUUAAUCUUGGCUCCUUUCAUGGUGGGAUCUCCCCAAAGAUCUGUUAUUAUUUUGCUUCAGAGGGCUGCCAAAAGGGACAUGCAUAGAGGAAAGGAGAGAUUGCAGCAGAAGGUGCCUGCAGCUUCCCUCAUGCGUUUUCUGGGGAUCCAGGGGACAGCUGACACAGCAGCAUCACUGGCUGCAGGAAGAGCAAACAAGGAAUGGUGUCAUCUGGUGCUCUACUCUGCUGCUGCUGUCAGUUUUCCUACUGACUUGCCCUAACAGGGAAUUCAAGGAAAAUGGGAAGGGAAAGUGGAGAGAAAGCUUCCUCAAGGUGUGCAUGAGGUACAUGCACCUAGUCUUAACUAAGGAUUUGGGAGGUGUAAAAAACAUCUCAAGAGUUGGAUUUUGUGAGCGCACUACAAGGUUCUUCAGCUUAGGGGGAUCUGGACACAAAACACUCCCGUAGUCAUGGCUGAGCUCGUGGCUGGGGAUCUUGCUAUCUGGGGAAAUGGAGCAGGGAUGUAAGGCUGAAGGCAAGAUCCUAUUAUGGCCAUGGCAGAAAAUCAAAGCAAAACAACAGUUAGGACUAAGUGAAUGAUGACUCCUGUAUCUGAAGUCUCAAUGGCUGUGUGUUUUUAGGGCCCAUAAAAAUGUCUGACCUGAUUUCUUCUGCUGUGCUACAGCAGAAUUUCCAUUUUAGAGCAAAACUUGUGCAGGUGCCUCAUCCAAAAUGCAAGUGCAGAAAAGCAAGGCCAACACUGCAACAGAGAGAUGUUUGGGAAAUACUCACAGGAACAUUCAUUACUAAUUUUUCUAGGGUCAG